UGCAUCGGCCGGGAAUCGAACCCUGGCCGCCCGCGUAACUUGCGAGCAUUCUCGCCACUGAACCACCGAUGC